rnacentral:tRNA from 1 species
GGUUGUGUAGUCUAAGGGAAAAGGCGUCGGUCUUCUAUGAAAGCAGUUAUCCGAAAAUUACGGGUUCGAAUCCCGCCACGAUUA